GAUGAACGCUGGCGGCGUGCCUAAUACAUGCAAGUCGAGCGAACAGACGAGGAGCUUGCUCCCCCGACGUUAGCUGCGGACGGGUGAGUAACACGUGGAUAACCUACCUAUAAGACUGGGAUAACUUCGGGAAACCGGAGCUAAUACCGGAUAAUAUAUUUAAACACAUGGUUCAAUAGUGAAAGACGGUUUUGCUGUAACUUAUACAUGUCUCCCCUCCUCAUUAGCUGGUUGGUAGGGUAACGGCUAACCAAGGCAACAGUCCGUAGCGGACUUAGGAGGGUAAUCGCCCACACUGGACCAAGGACACGCUCCAGAGUCCGCCGGGAGGAGCCAGUGGGGAGUCUUCGGCAAUGAGCGAAAGCUUGACGGAGAAAACCCGGGUGAGUGAUGAAGGUCUCCGGAUGGAAAAACUCUGUUAUUAGGAAGAAAGUAGUGUAUAGGUGAAUAUGCAUGAAUUGACGGUACCUAAUCAGAAAGCCACGGCUAACUACGUG
rnacentral:rRNA from 1 species